GAAGUGGGGAUGACGUCAAGUCCUCAUUGGCCCUUAUGGGUAGGGCUUCACACGUCAUACAAUGGUCGGUACAGAGGGUUGCCAAGCCGCGAGGCGGAGCCAAUCCCACAAAGCCGAUCGUAGUCCGGAUUGUUCUCUGCAACUCCAAGAGCAUGAAGUCGGAAUCGCUAGUAAUCGCAGGUCAGCAUACUGCGGUGAAUACGUUCCCGGGUCUU
rnacentral:rRNA from 1 species